AACCUUCAACAGUGGAUCUCUUGGUUCCGGCAUCGAUGAAGAACGCAGCGAAAUGCGAUACGUAAUGUGAAUUGCAGAGUACAGUGAACCAUCGAAUCUUUGAACGCACAUUGCGCCCGCCGGCAUUCCGGCGGGCAUGCCUGUCCGAGCGUCG
rnacentral:rRNA from 1 species